GGGGAUAACACUUGGAAACAGGUGCUAAUACCGUAUAACACUAUUUUCCGCAUGGAAGAAAGUUGAAAGGCGCUUUUGCGUCACUGAUGGAUGGACCCGCGGUGCAUUAGCUAGUUGGUGAGGUAACGGCUCACCAAGGCCACGAUGCAUAGCCGACCUGAGAGGGUGAUCGGCCACACUGGGACUGAGACACGGCCCAGACUCCUACGGGAGGCAGCAGUAGGGAAUCUUCGGCAAUGGACGAAAGUCUGACCGAGCAACGCCGCGUGAGUGAAGAAGGUUUUCGGAUCGUAAAACUCUGUUGUUAGAGAAGAACAAGGAUGAGAGUAGAACGUUCAUCCCUUGACGGUAUCUAACCAGAAAGCCACGGCUAACUACGUGCCAGCAGCCGCGGUAAUACGUAGGUGGCAAGCGUUGUCCGGAUUUAUUGGGCGUAAAGCGAGCGCAGGCGGUUUCUUAAGUCUGAUGUGAAAGCCCCCGGCUCAACCGGGGAGGGUCAUUGGAAACUGGGAGACUUGAGUGCAGAAGAGGAGAGUGGAAUUCCAUGUGUAGCGGUGAAAUGCGUAGAUAUAUGGAGGAACACCAGUGGCGGAGGCGGCUCUCUGGUCUGUAACUGACGCUGAGGCUCGAAAGCGUGGGGAGCGAACAGGAUUAGAUACCCU
rnacentral:rRNA from 1 species